UCACUAUAGCAGCAGCAGAUUCUGUAAGAAUUAACAAGAAGAAGAAGAAGAAGAAGAAUGAUGAAUUUAUACGAAGAAAACGAGAGGUCAGUGAUGGGGGUACCUCUGGGAUUAAUUCUUCUGGUGGUGACUCUGUUAGCCAUGUGUGGAGUCUUCAUCUGCUGCCUUUACUGGGAUCGGAUUCCUCUCCAUGCUCCACCUACCCACCACAACAACAAACCAUCCCCUCAUCACCUGGUUCGUAUAUAAUAUACGUUUCUCCUUCUAUAUAUGUUCUGGGUUUUGUUUCUUUUAGCCUUAUGUGUCGAUUUCC
rnacentral:lncRNA from 1 species